UUCCAGAACAUGUAAAGCAAAUCUAAGACAUCAAGUGAGGUAUUUUGCAACAAAAAAAUUCACUUCGCAGUUAAAAAAAAAAAAGCCUCAUUCUCUCAUGCCUGUGUUAAAGAGGAAGUCAGGAGGGCUGAAUUCCACCCAAGACCCUGGGCCUGGCUCGGGCACAGCCUCCCACGUGUUCUGCAUACAGGGGCUCACAGGGCACCCACCCACGGACUCACACGCUCCGUCACACACAAAUCACCGAGGCCCUGACCACAACGACACGUGCAAAGUGAGGGCCAGCUGUGGGCCCGGCGCAAGGUCAGGUGCUGUGAGGUGGAAGGAAAGGCAACCUAAGGUGAGACAUCUGCCUUCAAGGAAGGGCUAACACACGAGAAAGGCGGAAGAAAACAAUCACCCUUAAUGGAGCGGCACUUACUAGCCUUACUAGCACUUACUAGCCGAGUAGUAAGAGUUCUGAGAACAAAGCGGUAAGUGCGGGAAAGGAGGCUUCGGGGAAGAGUGCAGGCUGCACCCAGGCCUCGCUGAGAGCCGGGCCGUGGUGCGCCCACAAGAGAGGGGCUGAGGCUGGGCCGAGGCAGGUGGGCCUCAGUGCCCGCCACACGCCCUGCCGCCUCCCCUGCCCUGCCUUCCAGGCAGAGCCUGCUGCUCUGAGCGCCGCAUGUGUGCGGAGAGCCGCCCCCAGAGAGGGCACACGCUCCCCGAGCUAGAUGAGUUUUACCUUGAAGUGACAGAAGCUUUCACAGCUCGGUUGAUUUCAGGAGGCAAGUGGAGCCAGAGAGGAAGAGAAGGCAACACUUGCAGCUGUGUCCUGAGCCAGGGACUCUGGUCAACCCACAGUGAUUCAGAAAACGGUCUGAAAGGCCUCUGAGAUGCAGGCAAGUCUCAUGGCUUAGCUUGAAAGAGCUGGGGUAGAAAUAGCAGAGGUGGAAAGACAGAAAGAAAGGAGGAAAAAGGCCAAAGCAAGGACCUCAAAAAGGGAAAAGAAAUCAAGAGAGCUGGCCAGGGUAGGGAAGUGAGCAAGUGUUAUCUAAAGAGACCAUCUGUCCUGGUUUGCCAAGGAUGGAGGGGUGGCCCAGGACUCAGGACUUCCGGGACGAACACCAGGACAACCCCAGGCAAACCGGGACGAGUUGGUCAGCCCAGUGGUAGCAUGUCGAUCGGGGAUGCUAAGGGGUUGCUGACCCCUUGGUGCUCUCCCUCCCUCCUUCGUGGACCUGUCACUGCCCACUGGCACCCCCAGGGCAAUGGGAAGGAUAAGGAGGUCAACAUACGGACGUGACCAUGUGCCUCUCCUUCUAGCUUGAGUCCUCUCAUCUCAACCAUGCAAAUGUCUGAAAGGGUUCAGGCAGCAGAGAAAAUUCUUUACUGUUGUUGUUAAAAUAACACCUAGAAUCACAGCCACUAUCCUUUUCAACUGUUUCUCAGGCAUUGGGCUCACCAGCUGCCCAGCUGGGAGAGGACAUGGCGCUCCGCCCUUAGGGAAAUGCCACAUCUGUACAUGGAAAUCAGAAGCAGCAGAGGGGCUGUCGCACCCAGCUCCUGAACGCACCCCUGUGCAGUCUCCGUCUCCCUCUGCCCUCUCAGAGCUUCAUUUCCCAUCUGCCUCCCCCCAAGGCAGGUCCUGAGGGGGUGAAAUCCACUCACUCAACAAGGACUUACUGAGCAUUUACUGUGUGACAGACACUGUUCGGGACCGUGGAGAACACAAAGAAGUUACGGUUCAGUGGUGGGGGGCAGGGUGGGGCUGGUGUAGAGAAGGGGAGAAUCAUUCAGUAGUCGACACUUAGUCACACUGCCCUUAACAGAUGCCAAGAACUGUACUGGGGGAAUAGAGACAAGUAACCAGACAACUGCAAAACCAUUCUAAGUACAAUGAUGGGGAUGUGGGGGCACCUACCCCAGUUACUGAACCAAAUACCAACCCACCUCACUUUAGCCUGGAGGCUUCUUCCCGAUGUUUACUUAUUCUCUUUCAUGGUAACCACUGAAGAGCCCAGAGGAACAAUACAGAUGCAGAGGACCCCAAAGCCCUAGGGAAUGAAAGAGCCAUAAGAUGGAAUGAGCCUGGGCCUCUGAAUCACUCAUUGGAGGGCUGACCACCAAUCAGGAGCACCUAUGUUGGACUGAGUAAAAAAUAAACCUCUACUGUGUUAAGUUAUAAUUUGGAGUUUUAAUUGUUUCUUCAGCAAGUGUUACUCUAACUAAUACACACAUAUAGAAAAAUUACUGAAAGGUAAACUACCAAAUUUAAUCUGAUGCACUGUACGACAAAGUAUAAGGUAAAUUAUUUUCAAAAGUGUAUUCUUUCCACCACAAACAUGUCUUAUUUUAUAACCAAUAAAAAUAUUAAAAAAUAGGGGGCUUCCCUGGUGGUGCAGUGGUUGAGAGUCCGCCUGUCGAUGCAGGGGACACGGGUUCGUGCCCCGGUCCGGGAGGAUCCCACGUGCCACGGAGCGACUGGGCCCAUGAGCCAUGGCCGCUGAGCCGGCAUGUCUGGAGCCUGUGCUCCACAAUGGGAGAGGCCACAACAGUGAGAGGUCCAC